rnacentral:rRNA from 1 species
UACGUAGGGUGCAAGCGUUGUCCGGAAUUAUUGGGCGUAAAGAGCUCGUAGGCGGUUUGUUGCGUCGGGUGUGAAAGCCCGGGGCUUAACCCCGGGUCUGCAUUCGAUACGGGCAGGCUAGAGUGUGGUAGGGGAGAUCGGAAUUCCUGGUGUAGCGGUGAAAUGCGCAGAUAUCAGGAGGAACACCGGUGGCGAAGGCGGAUCUCUGGGCCAUUACUGACGCUGAGGAGCGAAAGCGUGGGGAGCGAACAGG